AGAGUUUGAUCCUGGCUCAGAGCGAACGCUGGCGGCAGGCCUAACACAUGCAAGUCGAACGGACCCUUCGGGGUUAGUGGCGGACGGGUGAGUAACACGUGGGAACGUGCCUUUAGGUUCGGAAUAGCUCCUGGAAACGGGUGGUAAUGCCGAAUGUGCCCUUAGGGGGAAAGAUUUAUCGCCUUUAGAGCGGCCCGCGUCUGAUUAGCUAGUUGGUGAGGUAAUGGCUCACCAAGGCGACGAUCAGUAGCUGGUCUGAGAGGAUGACCAGCCACAUUGGGACUGAGACACGGCCCAAACUCCUACGGGAGGCAGCAGUGGGGAAUCUUGCGCAAUGGGCGAAAGCCUGACGCAGCCAUGCCGCGUGAAUGAUGAAGGUCUUAGGAUUGUAAAAUUCUUUCACCGGGGACGAUAAUGACGGUACCCGGAGAAGAAGCCCCGGCUAACUUCGUGCCAGCAGCCGCGGUAAUACGAAGGGGGCUAGCGUUGCUCGGAAUUACUGGGCGUAAAGGGCGCGUAGGCGGAUCGUUAAGUCAGAGGUGAAAUCCCGGAGCUCAACUUCGGAACUGCCUUUGAUACUGGCGAUCUUGAGUGUGAGAGAGGUAUGUGGAACUCCGAGUGUAGAGGUGAAAUUCGUAGAUAUUCGGAAGAACACCAGUGGCGAAGGCGACAUACUGGCUCAUUACUGACGCUGAGGCGCGAAAGCGUGGGGAGCAAACAGGAUUAGAUACCCUGGUAGUCCACGCCGUAAACGAUGAUAACUAGCUGUCCGGAUACUUGGUAUUUGGGUGGCGCAGCUA
rnacentral:rRNA from 1 species